CACUAACACAUGCAAGUCGAACGGUAACAGUUACUAGCUUGCUCUUAAGAUGACGAGUGGCGGACGGGUGAGUAAUGCUUGGGAACUUGCCUUUGCGAGGGGGAUAACAGUUGGAAACGACUGCUAAUACCGCAUAAUGUCUUCGGACCAAACGGGGCUUCGGCUCCGGCGCAAAGAGAGGCCCAAGUGAGAUUAGCUAGUUGGUAAGGUAACGGCUUACCAAGGCGACGAUCUCUAGCUGUUCUGAGAGGAAGAUCAGCCACACUGGGACUGAGACACGGCCCAGACUCCUACGGGAGGCAGCAGUGGGGAAUAUUGCACAAUGGGGGAAACCCUGAUGCAGCCAUGCCGCGUGUGUGAAGAAGGCCUUCGGGUUGUAAAGCACUUUCAGUUGUGAGGAAAAGUUAGUAGUUAAUACCUGCUAGCCGUGACGUUAACAACAGAAGAAGCACCGGCUAACUCCGUGCCAGCAGCCGCGGUAAUACGGAGGGUGCGAGCGUUAAUCGGAAUUACUGGGCGUAAAGCGCACGCAGGCGGUUUGUUAAGCUAGAUGUGAAAGCCCCGGGCUCAACCUGGGAUGGUCAUUUAGAACUGGCAGACUAGAGUCUUGGAGAGGGGAGUGGAAUUCCAGGUGUAGCGGUGAAAUGCGUAGAUAUCUGGAGGAACAUCAGUGGCGAAGGCGACUCCCCUGGCCAAAGACUGACGCU
rnacentral:rRNA from 1 species